rnacentral:rRNA from 1 species
AUGUAUCCGGUUAGCUUUAUUGCUUAUCAAAAAUCAUGGGUAAUGUAUUUUCGAGUCCGACUCACAGAUUCUUGUCAGGGCACUAAAUUCCGGGGAUUUAUAUAUUUUGCGGAUUAUGGCAUGCUGGUACGUGAAGUUAGGAGCGUUUGCAUGGUGACGUUUGACACAUUUGAGUUUAAUUUCUAUCCUCGGUCAUGUAAUUCUGUUGCCCAUGUGCUUGCGCAAUACGGGUACCGUAUGGUUGAAGCCACUAUGUUUUGGCUAGGUUCAAAACAACUUUUUGUUUCUGACAUGGUUGCUAGCGAGUCGAUUUACUGA